rnacentral:lncRNA from 1 species
AGCAGUUUUCUGAAGGCUGCAGAGAGCCCGUGGAGGACUUAGUAGCUGAGGCAAAGCCUUAUAAUCACAAAUUGUAUGAAAUUGUGUCUGUACUUUAUUUUAUACUACACUGAACAAGGAUUGAAGUCAGAUUCCAAAUGGUGUAUUGUUCCUGAGUUGAAGGCUUUGACUGACAAACUUAAGACAUGGAAAAUAAACAGCAGGGAGAACAGCACCCAUCCUUGGCAUUGACCCCAUCCUUGUGUGGAAAGCAUCUCUAACACCAUCCCCUCAAGGCACCAGCCAAGCAUUUGAAGCCUCAACAAUAAAACUAGUUCUGAACCUGAUUCUUGUGAAGAACCG